CGAGAAUUCUGUAAAUGUUUGGUCUUAUAAGGCUUUAACUGACUGCAUCUAGUCAAACUGUUCUCAACAUAAAUGAGGAACUGAGGUGACCAGUUGUGAACAAUACUUUGCUUCCUUUCUGAUCUGAAGACAUGUCAGGCUGCUCAGUGCAGUAUGUGCGUGUUUGCUAUUGAAUAAAGUAGAGUUGUUUGUCUGGAAGCUGCUGGCCGGGUCCACAGAGCUGAACACUGAGGAGACAUGGAAGCUGUGGUUGGACUUCUGGUGAUGAUACUUGGAGUCUCUCAUGGUGUGGCAACCCACUGUGAUGGCAGACAGGACGGAGUUCAGUGUUUCGGUCCUUUGGGAGGAACUGUGGUCGUCCAGCUGAUGGACAGUGACUCAGAAAUAUCUAGAUACCAAUUGUUUUACAAUAAUAAAACAACAUUAAUCAGAGUGGGAAAUAAUGUGAUUAUAACUAAUAAUAUACAAGACGGAUCCUCAUUUAUUCCCAGUGAUAAAACAUUGACGCUCAAUAACCUGAGCAGGAAUGAUGGUGGUGAAUAUAGACUUGAAACCUUUGAUAAAGGUGGAAAGACUUUAGGAAAGCGGACUCUACAGUUGACCAUUCAAGCUCCUGUGUCCUCUGUCCUGCUGGACUCUGAGUGUCUGUCCCAGGGAGAGAAGAGGGUGUCCUGCUCCUCUGAGGGAGGGGAAAGUCCUCAGUACAGCUGGACUCUGGAUGGGCACAAACUGACAGACGCUGAGCUCCUCUCUGCAAACACUGAGACUAACAGCAUCACUCUGAAACAACACGUCUCAGGACUACUGCUCUGCUCAGUCAGCAAUGACGUCAGCAGUGUCACGACAGAAGAGAAGAUAUCUAACUGUGGAUUCAUAUACGUUAACUGCACCUUAAAUGUGACACACAUAUCACAGUGGGUGUUUGCAGCCAAUAAUACCCUGUGCAUUGAGCCAACAACAGCUCCUACCCCGACCACAGAAGCCUCCACUGCCGGUUUGGAAACCCACUGUGAUGGCAGACAGGACGGAGCUCAGUGUUUCGGUCCUUUGGGAGGAACUGUGGUCGUCCAGCUGAUGGACAGUGACUCAGAAAUAUCUAGAUACCAAUUGUUUUACAAUAAUAAAACAACAUUAAUCAGAGUGGCAAAUAAUGUGAUUAUAACUAAUAAAAUACAAGACAGAUCCUCAUUUACUCCCAGUGAUAAAACAUUGACGCUCAAUAGCCUGAGCAGGAAUGAUGGUGGUGAAUAUAGACUGGAAACCUUUGAUAACGAUGGAAAGACUUCAGGAGAGCGGACUCUACAGUUGACCAUUCAAGCUCCUGUGUCCUCUGUCCUGCUGGACUCUGAGUGUCUGUCCCAGGGAGAGAAGAGGGUGUCCUGCUCCUCUGAGGGAGGGGAAAGUCCUCAGUACAGCUGGACUCUGGAUGGGCACAAACUGACAGACGCUGAGCUCCUCUCUGCAAACACUGAGACUAACAGCAUCACUCUGAAACAACACGUCUCAGGACUACUGCUCUGCUCAGUCAGCAAUGACGUCAGCAGUGUCACGACAGAAGAGAAUAUAUCUGACUGUGGCUUCAUAUACAUUAACUGCACCUUAAAUGUGACACAAAUAUCACAGUGGGUGUUUGCAGAGACAAAUACCCUGUGCAUUGAGCCAACAACAGCUCCUACCCCGACCACAGAAGCCUCCCUGCUCAUCUGUGGUGUGCGUGCAGCUGUGGUGAUUUUUGUAUUAAUUGGGAUUUCCGUCUAUUUUGCUUGGAAGAAAAACAAAUACAAGAUGGCUGAAGGCUCCGAAGAUGGACAAUCUGCAUCUGUACUUUAACUUUGUGAAACCAACACCUCAGUGCCGCAUCUCACUGAUUGGCCGUGUGUUUUUAUGGGUGGGAAAAUAGGGUUUAGAGUGUAAAUUCUCUGCUGUUUUUAUUAUUCUUAAAUUCACUUCUGCCUACUGUGUUUACAGCUUAACAACUCACUAUGAAUUUAAAUUAAAAAAGGCCAGUGAGUGUUUUCUGCAUUUGUAUGACUGUGGGAGAUCAUAGAACGAAGGUUAUGUAUUGUAACUAUAAUUAAUGUAAUCACAAGUGGAGCCUUCUGACUCAGUCAUUUCUAUAUAAGCUACCGAUACCAUAUUCACAUAUAUGAUUAAAAUAUGUUUAACUCUUAAAGAUUGAAUUUUGUGGAUACUAGUUUUGUGUUUUUCUCUGAUAAUAAUUCCUAAUAUAGGUCUGUUUUGCUUCCAUGUUUACAACGAACGAUAAUGUAAAACCUUUUCAGCAUUUAACUUACAUUUUGUUGAUUUGUUAUGUUUUAAAAACCUGUCAAUCAUCAUGUGUCAUCUGUCAAUUUAGGUAAGCUACCCUUUUGUUGACAUUUUGAUCACGGACUGUACCUUUAAUGACUGCCGAUAUUUGAAUAAAACUUCCAGACUCAU
ensembl:lncRNA uncharacterized LOC115014832